rnacentral:rRNA from 1 species
UGCUUAACACAUGCAAGUCGAACGGAAACGCGAAGAGCUUGCUCUUUGGCGUCGAGUGGCGGACGGGUGAGUAACGCGUGGGAAUCUACCCAGUAGUGGAGGACAGCCAGGAGAAAUCCUGAUUAAUACUGCAUACGAUCUACGGAUGAAAGGUGGCCUCUGUUUACAUGCUAUCGCUAUUGGAUGAGCCCGCGUUAGAUUAGCUAGUUGGUGGGGUAAGAGCCUACCAAGGCGACGAUCUAUAGCUGGUCUGAGAGGACGACCAGCCACAUCGGGACUGAGACACGGCCCGGACUCCUACGGGAGGCAGCAGUGGGGAAUAUUGGACAAUGGGCGCAAGCCUGAUCCAGCAAUGCCGCGUGUGUGAAGAAGGCCCUAGGGUUGUAAAGCACUUUCAAUUGUGAAGAAGGGUAUAAGAUUAAUACUCUUGUAUCUUGACGUUAACUUUAGAAGAAGCACCGGCUAACUCUGUGCCAGCAGCCGCGGUAAUACAGAGGGUGCGAGCGUUAAUCGGAAUUACUGGGCGUAAAGCGCGCGUAGGCGGUUAGAUAAGUCAGAUGUGAAAUCCCCGGGCUCAACCUGGGAACUGCACCUGAUACUGUUUAACUAGAGUUUGGGAGAGGGAAGUAGAAUUUCAGGUGUAGCGGUGAAAUGCAUAGAGAUCUGAAGGAAUACCAGUGGCGAAGGCGACUUCCUGGCCUAAAACUGACGCUGAGGUGCGAAAGCGUGGGUAGCAAACGGGAUUAGAUACCCCGGUAGUCCACGCCGUAAACGAUGUCAACUAGUCGUCGGUUCCCUUGAGGGAUCGGUGACGCAGCUAACGCAUUAAGUUGACCGCCUGGGGAGUACGGUCGCAAGACUAAAACUCAAAGGAAUUGACGGGGGCCCGCACAAGCGGUGGAGCAUGUGGUUUAAUUCGAUGCAACGCGAAGAACCUUACCAUCCCUUGACAUCCGGAGAAUUUGCAAGAGAUUGCUUAGUGCCUUCGGGAACUCCGUGACAGGUGCUGCACGGCUGUCGUCA